GCCUGGAUGGUUCAGUUGGUUGAGCAUCCGACUUCGGCUCAGGUCAUGAUCUCACAGUUUGUGGGUUCGAGCCCCGCAUCAGGCU
rnacentral:tRNA from 1 species